GUUAAAAACAAGCACUUGAAUUAUAAUGGUAGAAUACUUCUCUUCCAAAGAAGUGGCUUGGGUUUGAUUCCCAGAAGGUGAUUUUAACU